CUUGGUCAUGAUGGCGUUAAGGUCAGGCUGUUCGGCGGUAUUGACUGUUUGAUUCGGCUCGAGCUUCGGCGCACCGGGUGAACCAAAAUCAAUCGAAACGAAGUUUUGUCCCAUCAAGCCGGCGAAACGGAUUGUGGCAAUGCUGUCCGUCUUAACCGCGGCAUCUGAACGCAGCUUCAACAUCACGUCCACCUUGUUGUUGGAGAGUUUGAUGUCCUCGACCUUGCCGAUUUCGACGCCAGCCAUCUUCACACGAUCACCGACCUUGAGUUCCUGCGCGGUGUUGAAGAGCGCGUGGAGACGAUAUUGUUUUUGAAACAAUUCGAAGCCGCCGAGGAUAAA
rnacentral:misc_RNA from 1 species